GUGAGGGCCGAGAGCCUUCGUGCGAUUGCAAGCGAGAGAGAUUGAGAGAAAGCUUGCAAGAGAGAGAGAGUGAGAGCAUAAGAGGGAGAGAGAGAUCGAGAGAGUGAUGGUGGCAGCCAUGGCCGCGAGGCUGGUGCUCGGAGGGGUGACCGAUGGCAGCGGCGGCUCGCGUGGUGGCCGUGGUGAUCAGCGGCCAUAGAGGAAGCUGAUGAUGGUGGAGACAACGUCGAAGGCCGCGGUGGCGGCCAGUUGCAGCGGCCAACAGCGGAAGCUGUCAUUGCCGAUGGGUUGCAGAUGAAGGCAGCAACGAGUGAGGCCGAGCAAAGCUAGAGGCAGCGUGCGGCCGAAGCUGGAAGCGGUCGUGGUUGGUUGCUCCGAUGGUAGAGGUGGCGGCGGCGUCGACCGAAGGCACUAGAAAAGCUGGCAGCGGCGGCCAUGGCAGAACGCUGGAGGUCCAGCGCGCAGGGCGGUGGCUCGCGAUGGUGGCAGCUCGCGUCUGCGGGUGCUGGCGGAGGCGGCUGAGGCCGCGAGUGGCGGCCAGCGAUAGCAGCAGGCAAGCGGUGGCUGCCAGCGGUUGGGCGCGCGCAGGUCGGCCGCGCAAGGAAGAAGAAGCGUGAAUAGUGGCUGCGCACGGGAGAAAGAAACAAGGAAGAAAAGAAAGAAAAAAAUAAAGAAGAAAAAGAAAAAUAAGAAAAGAAAAUGAAAGAAAAUAUGGGAAAAAGGGAAAAAUAAGAGAAAAAAAUCCAGAAAGUGGGAGAAAAUUCUGGAAAUUAUUUUGGGGCUUGAGGAGCUUGUCAGAAGCUCGAAAAUGAGAUUUUGGGAACAAAUGGAAGCUCGGGAGGCAACGUCAAUGUGGGCAUUCUCGAAAUUCUCUCCAAAUGAGUCGAGGUUUGACCGGGGAGGCGGUGAUCCUAGAGGAACUAGAGGUUCGGGCUGGAGUUCGUGCCGAGGCGGAGUUGAGGCUUCGAGCCAGAUGAUGCAAGUCCAGAUGCAAGCAGGGAUGGUGCCGGGAGACUGUUGUGGCGAUUAGCUUGUUGCCUGAGAUGUGUUGUAGUGUACUCUCCGUUAUUUUCAUUCAUGUAUUUAUGUGAUUGAUUGUAAGCGCUAUUGAGCACUAGAUGUGUUUAAUUAUUGUAAUCAUUAUUCUCUGAUAAAUGAUUGUGAGAUUAUUCAUUGAAUAUGGCUUAGUUGGAGAAGCCGAGUUUCCGAACGAGUAAAGUUCAGCGAGGUACGUUCUCAUAAAUCUCCAAUACUCAGCGAAGUGUUUGUAUGCUAGC